rnacentral:rRNA from 1 species
GACGGGGGGGGGGCAGGCGUUACCCAUCAUGACUGGGCGUAAAGGGUCCGUAGACAUUAAAGUAAGUUACUUUUGAAAUUAUUAAAUAAUAUUUAAUAAACAUUUGUAAUAUGCUUUAAUUUGAGUUUUUAUACAGAAAGAGUAGAAUUUUGAUAAGUAAGGUUGAAAUCUUUAGAUAUAUAAAAGGAAUUCCAGAAGCGAAGGCGACUCUUUUAGUAAAAAACUGACGUUGAGGGACGAAAAGUGUAGGGAGCAAACAGG